CGGGUGAGUAAUGCGUGACCAACCUGCCCCAUGCUCCAGAAUAGCUCUUGGAAACGGGUGGUAAUGCUGGAUGCUCCAACUUGACGCAUGUCUUGUUGGGAAAGUGUUUAGUGGCAUGGGAUGGGGUCGCGUCCUAUCAGCUCGUAGGCGUGGUAAUGGCCCACCUAGGCUUCGACGGGUAGCCGGCCUGAGAGGGCGGACGGCCACAUUGGGACUGAGAUACGGCCCAGACUCCUACGGGAGGCAGCAGAC
rnacentral:rRNA from 1 species